AGUCAUGGUAAGCUAGUUCAGUCUAUUGUUUUUUUUUCCCUACACAAUCUUGGUUUGAAAAUUCAUUUGUUCUUGCGAAGUAACUUGCCUUUUCCUGCAAUUCUGCAGUAGAACCAUGGUCUGACAUGCUCCAUAUAUAUUAUUUUGUGUACCUAAAUUUUCUAUAUGGAAAUUUUCUUGCUUUGUCUGACUCUGGACACCAUGGAGGUGCCCUUAGUUUGUUGCGGAUGGCAUGAACUGGGGGUUUUGGAUUCGUUUGUCGCAGACCAAUUCUGUAAACUUCUCAAUAGAUAUAAUCUUGUAGACUAUUUCCUUUGUCACCAAAAUAUUUUUCAAAAACAGUUGGUGAAAUUCUAAGCCUAGUGUACAUCCAUUAGCUAGAUA
rnacentral:misc_RNA from 1 species